UCCCAUCCAAUAUUAUCACAGUCAUACAGCAUUAAGUGGCAUCAUUCAUCUUGAAAGAAUGAAGUGGCCUUAAUCUAAACAUCUACUUGAAAUGAUCCCUUCUUAAAAUUAACAGUUAUGAGAUACCAAUUAAAGCUCUCUUAUGGAUUGAACACUAAAUAAAGACCAGGAGCAGAGAAGAGGGAUAGAAGCACUGGAAUGUAUUCAGGAUCUGUACUGGAACCAGUGUUAUAAUGAACACAUGAGAACUGUGCCUGGAUGUUCCUGUGAAGUUUUGAUACAGAGUCUAGUCAUGCUUACCAGGGUGAACCUGCUGAUCAACACACCUUUAGGUCCAUUUAGGGAUUGUUUGUAGGGCCAAGUACCCAAUCUAGGGAAGAUCUUGAGAAAGAAAUAGGUGAGGCAACAGAAAAGAUACCAAGGAUUUGGAACUGUGGGAUCAGCCUGGACAGAGGAUACAUCACAAGUAUUGUGUUUCAUUGGUCAUCAUGAAUGGAUGCUGCAUUGUAUUUCCAUGUUGUUCUGACUUCCCUAUAUUCUAGACAAUGAAACAGAAAUGUUUUGUGUAUAUUUUUAAUUAAACAGUAUUCUACCUUGAAUGUUAAGGAACUAUGAAUGAAUCCUUUUUAAUGGCAGGAAAAAGGCCCUGGCAAGUUUCUCAGACAUGUUUUUUUUUAGAAGAGAUCCUUUGUUUUUCUCCUAAUAGCACUGAAUAUAAUGGCCAGCUUGUACUUCAGUACAUUCAACUCUAAAGAGAAUGGUUCUGAAAUUUUCCCGAACUUUGAUAUUUUGACCUCACAGCCUGGAGUCUGGAGUUCUGUCAAAUUUCCUUCCAGCUGUACAUUUCUUAAACUGCACCAAGACAGCCAGCAGAUAAUAACUGCAGUGGGGGCUUGUUCAUGUACUGUCUAUCCUCACGGGUGUUAUUGAGAACACACAACACUGUGUACAAAAUAUAACUUUCAUAUUGUUGCCAGAAGAUCUCAGAACAAAAUUGUCAUAUGUUUUUUGUGUGCGAAAGCCUUCGUUCACCUCAGCUGUUCUGAAUGACA